GGACUGAGUCCAACACUGUAUAUCCGGUGGUCAUCCCAUUGCUCAUCCUCUUGCUCAUCAUCAUCAUUAUUGUCAUCAUCAUCAUCUUCAGAAAGAAAGGAGGCUUUUCACAGCAAAUCGAGCUGACCACAUUUUCGAGAAGGAAUGAUCCAGGUUCGUCCCAAGAUUGAACAGACCAAGCAGCUGUCUUGUCGAGAUAUUCUCCAGUCAUCGACAUGUUGAAAGAUUUGAGAAGAGAAUCCCUGUCUGUGAGGCAGAAAUACACAUCUCCAGAGGUCUGCAGAAGCUGUUUGCAUUGGCAGUGUCUUUGGAAUUCAAGCAAAAAAUCCGAUGUGCCUGUAAUACAUCUAAUCAUCUCAGGGUUUCAUGAAGGCAUUUUUCGUUAAAAUGAUCAUUGAGCUACAAAAUUACAAUUCUUUAAUUUUUUUU